CCUACGGGAGGCAGCAGUGGGGAAUAUUGCACAAUGGGGGAAACCCUGAUGCAGCGACGCCGCGUGGAGGAUGAAGGUUUUCGGAUUGUAAACUCCUUUUGUUAGGGAAGAUAAUGACGGUAUCUAACGAAUAAGCACCGGCUAACUCCGUGCCAGCAGCCGCGGUAAUACGGAGGGUGCAAGCGUUACUCGGAAUCACUGGGGGGAAAGGGCGCGUAGGCGGGAUAGCAAGUCAGCUGUGAAAUCCUAUGGCUUAACCACAGAACUGCAUUGGAAACUGUUAUUCUAGAGUAUGGGAGAGGUAGGUGGAAUUCUUGGUGUAGGGGUAAAAUCCGUAGAGAUCAAGAGGAAUACGCAUGGCGAAGGCGACCUGCUAGAACAUAACUGACGCUGAUGCGCGAAAGCGUGGGGAGCAAACAGGAUUAGAUACCCGUGUAGUC
rnacentral:rRNA from 1 species